rnacentral:tRNA from 1 species
AGGAGAAUAGCUUAAAAUAGGUUAGAGCAACGAUUUUCAAAAUCGAAGGUUAAAGGUUCAAGUCUUUUUUCUCCUG